GCAGACGUGGCCGAGUGGUGAAGGCGAUGGACUCGCAAUCCAUUGGGGGUAUCAAAGCGUAGUUUCGAAUCCUUCCGCCUGCG